rnacentral:snoRNA from 2 species
ACGACCUUACUUGAACAGGAUCUGUUCUAUAGGCUCGUUACAGAGGCCUGACCUCUGUAUCCUUGAUUUCUAAGGAGACAGGCCCUAUAUCCUGGUUGAUGAACCAUGACCGUGCGACCAGAGCGUGAUUAACGGCUAAGAUCAUCUCUAGAUGUAUCCGGUGCUGUAGAGGAUCGUUACCCGGCUCGGUCUAAACCUUGCAGGGGAGGUUGCACGGCGGUCUGACAGGCU